AGCAGCCGCGGUAAUUCCAGCUCCAAUAGCGUAUAUUAAAGUUGUUGCAGUUAAAAAGCUCGUAGUUGAAUUUCGGGGUCAGUAGGUCGGUCGUGCCACUGGUAUGAACUGGUUUCACUGAUUCCUCCCUCUUGUAGAACCGUGAUGCCAUUAAUUUGGUGUUGCGGGGAAACAGGACUGUUACUUUGAAAAAAUUAGAGUGUUUAAAGCAAGCUAACGCUUGAAUACAUUAGCAUGGAAUAAUGAAAUAGGACGUCUGCCUUAUUUUGUUGGUUUCUAGGAUGGACGUAAUGAUUAAUAGGGAUAGUUGGGGGCAUUAGUAUUCAAUUGUCAGAGGUGAAAUUCUUGGAUUUAUUGAAGACUAACUACUGCGAAAGCAUUUGCCAAGGAUGUUUUCAUUAAUCAAGAACGAAAGUUAGGGGAUCGAAGACGAUCAGAUACCGUCGUAGUCUUAACCAUAAACUAUGCCGACUAGGGAUCGGAUGAUGUUAAUUUUUAAUGACUCAUUCGGCGCCUUACG
rnacentral:rRNA from 1 species